rnacentral:rRNA from 1 species
GAAUCGGGAGUCACUA